GAUUUGAUCUAUUAUUAUCUCUUUUUUUGGUCCAGUUUAGAUCUAAUAUGUUAUUUUUUCCCUCCUUGAAUACGGUGAUGAGCUCGGCGUCGGACGAUCUUGGGGGUGACGCCGUCAAGGGCUCUCACAAGGUGGCCUUUAUGGAGCAGAGAGGCACCGGAUGCCAUGGAAAGAGAGCGCGACGGCUGAUCAAAAGGCGGUGGCAAUGGGGAGUUGGGGGCGAGAUAAAUAUGAUUAGGAUGAGCCGUCAGCCGCUGGCGUCGCGCCGUCAUCGAGCCGAGUUUGAUCAAAACGCAAGCCCGCUGCACAAUUUUUUGUCCAAGAUUAGUUCUACCACGUAAACGAUUCUGUUGGGAGUAUAUAGAGAGUUACAUGAGACGACACGAGAUGCUAUACGAGACGUACAUGAGAUAGAGUCGUACGUGAGAUCGAGUCCUAUGCGAGAUUGUGAGAUUGAGUCUUAGGUUGAGAGGAGUCGUACAUGAGAUAGAGUCGUACGUGAGAUCGAGUCCUAUGCGAGAUGACGUGAGAUUGAGUCUUAGGUUGAGAGGAUACAUCUUAUAUGUAAGAUCUUGGAUAAUAAAGGGCUCAUAUAGCAUGUCGCUUAAAUCGAACGGUUAUUAUGGAGGGAGAGCCCUCUUAAAAAACUCGCUCUUUUAUAGUGUGAUAUCAUGUGGAGCACAUUUCAACGCAGAACUUAUACAUAUAUCCUAUACACAUAACUUAAACAUAUAUCUUCAACGUGACAAAAUUACGCACAUAACUCAUACAUAUAAGUAACUACGUGUGAUAAAGUUGUACGCAUUACUUUUAUGUAUAAUAUUUUAUGGAACAAACUUAUUAACAUAAUUUCAUAGAAAGAUACAAAAAAUUAUACACAAAACAUAACAUAAGUAUAUAAUUUGAUGAAUGAUUUAGAAUAAAGUUGAACGUAUAAGUUAUAUUCAUGAACUUAGAUGUACAAAUUAAUAUAAUAACAUGUUAGUAUAAAUAUGAAAAACUAUAUAUGAAAAUAAAUGUGUAGUAUAACUUAUAAACAUAUAACAAAAGGAGAAAAAUGGUGAACAAAAAAAAGAAAAAAAGGAAUGUCUGUGCAUGUGUAGUCAUGCCACCGAACGAAUCCCACCAACAAAAAGUUAUUCAGUACAAAUUGUGGGCAUAAGUUAUAAGCUAUAAGUUAUACAUAAACAAGUGGAGUCUAGUUUUGUUUGUCUCGUUUCAUAGAACACACUGGUGUAGAUGGAAUUAUAAAUUGAUAUACCAUUUAGAACUUAUAGUAUUUUAAAAUAAAUAUUUGACCUUUUUUAUCCAUGUCACCAGUGAUAUCAGGAUGAGCAGGGGAAGUGGGCCAAUGCAACUGAGACAACCAAUCGUUUAUUGAGGCCUUGUUUAGUUUCUCCCAAAAGUCAAAAACAUUUUAAGAUUCUCCAGUACAUCGAAUUUUACGGUACAUACAUAGAGCAUUAAAUAUAGGUAAAAAAACUAAUUAACGGUUUGUCUGUAAACGAAUCUAUUGAGCCUAAUUAGUUUUAAUUGGACAAUAAUUGCCACAUACUCCCUCCGUCCCAAAAAGAGUGUCGUUUUAGAUUUUCGUGCCACAAGUAUGACUUGAUUUGUAGAAAAUACGUGCAAUAUUUAUAUCUCUAAAUAAAUUUGUUAAAAAACUAGACUUAA
rnacentral:lncRNA from 1 species